rnacentral:rRNA from 1 species
UACGAAGGGAGCUAGCGUUGUUCGGAAUCACUGGGCGUAAAGCGCACGUAGGCGGAUUUGUCAGUCAGGGGUGAAAUCCCGGGGCUCAACCUCGGAACUGCCUUUGAUACAGCAAGUCUUGAGUUCGAGAGAGGUGGGUGGAAUUCCUAGUGUAGAGGUGAAAUUCGUAGAUAUUCGGAAGAACACCAGUGGCGAAGGCGGCUCACUGGUCCGGUACUGACGCUGAGACGCGAAAGCGUGGGGAGCGAACAGG